CCGACCUUAGCUCAGUUAGUAGAGCGGAGGACUGUAGUUGGAUUAAUCUAAAUUGGAAAUGCUUGAGGUCGCUGGUUCGAAUCCUGCAGGUCGGA
rfam:Ipomoea nil DNA, scaffold: scaffold2147, cultivar: Tokyo-kokei standard.